ensembl:lncRNA
CUAAGAUACAAGCUAUUAUAUAACGUAAAGGCUAAUUUCAGUUUGGAAAAGGGAGCAGAAGCUUGUCAUUGCUGAUGAAUAUUAUCAUAAAAAUGGGAAUGGGAAAAUAUAUGUUUGAGCCCAAGAAGCUAAUGCCAGUAAUAUAGACUUUAUGUGGAAGUUGAGUUUUAGUCCAAGCUAUUUCUGUUUGACAAUUGAAUUAAAUGAUUUGAGCUAUUAAUUGGCAGGUUACAAUGCCGUUUAAAAUGAACUAUGUCUGAAAUUGAUUUGCAGAUGUCUACUGUAUUAUCUUUGACUUCAGGUUAAAGGUUUAUUUGUCUCUUUCUAACAGAACAACUUGCUUGUUUCAACACCACUAAUGCUUCCCAAAAAUCUUUUUUUUUUUUCAUGGAUGGUAAAACUGUCAUGAACUGUUAUGAAAACAAUUGAUUAGGCUUUCCUCAUGCUUCAUAGUGAAAAUCAUCUUUGUGCACGGCAGAUGUAUUUGAAGUGCUGUGACCUCUGUGCAUACUAAUGGCGCUUUAUCUUUCACAUGGUGAGAGAAUGCCAGAUGGUAUGAUGCUUGGAUAACAUGUUUAAGCUAUAAUUUUGAUGUGCUAUCAGCUAAAGUGCCCAGCCAAUCUAUCUUUUGUUGGGUUCCGCAGAUAUGGAUUCUUGCGCUAAAUUAUGCACAAUGUUUACACGAUGCAUAAAAUCAGCAUAGUUUAUUGGCUUUCAAAAAUGCACCAAAAUAUGAGUCAGCACAAAAUGGAUCACGCUAAACAAACCGAAAAUGGAUCAUCUCCUUUUUAAGUAUCCAUUUGCAUUUCAAAUAAAAAUCAUUCUAUGCCUGUCACGUUUGUUCAGUGGAUUCUGGCUUAAAGGGAUAGUUCACAAAAAUGAAAAUUCUGUCAUCAUUUUUUCACCCUUAUGUCAUUUCAAACAUCUUCAACCAAACACAGAAAAAAAGUCUUGGUUGUUGUUUUUUUUUUGUUUUUUUACGAUGAAAGUCAACAGGGUCCAGUUACUUAAUCAUGAAUAACAUUAGCCUAUAGGUAAUUUAUUUUUAGAUGUAAAUAACAUUCGGAAACUCUAAUUGAAAUAAGGAUCAAUAAAUACUGCAAGAAAAAUACAACACCAGAAAUGCCAUUUAUUUAUUAUUUCAUUUGAUAUGGGCAAUGUGGACCAAAGCACACAGAGGUGCACUGUAGAUAGGGCAUUGAAGAAGUCCUAAAAAAGAAACAAAUAAGUAAUAUAAGACAUAAUCUCAGCCUCAGACGUCUGGUGCAACCGGCCCCUGCAGAGAAAAGAAAGUCAUACAGGUUUGGAAAAAAAAAAGGUGAGUAAUUCUGGCAACUUUCCUGUUAUGGUGAACUAUAUCUUUAAGACUUUGUUUACUGAUAAAGAAAAAAAAAAAAGCAUUAAAAUCAGUGAUUGCACAUGUAUGUUAUUGCUCCUUUUUAGCUGCUGCUCUCACAAUAUCUCAUGAAAGUUUUAUUUCCCAAAGUAUCUGAUUUCUAAUCUAAUGUAAAACAGAUGGAGUGGGCACAUUGACUUCAGCACAGGUGUGGGAGGUACGCUAUUCAUUACAGGAUAAGGUGUCUACUGUGAACUCAAGAGUUUAAUUUGGAUCCAUUUGAAAGUAUCCUGGAAACAAACGUGCCACUCCUCGUGCUACAUACUGCACCACUGCGCAAACAUCCCCACAGUAACAGGCACGCUAUAGCUUCUCUUCUCUUCUCUUCUCUUCUCUUCUCUUCUCUUCUCUUCUCUUCUCUUCUCUUCUCUUCUCUUCUCUUCUCUUCUCUUCUCUUCUUGACAUUUCUGGUGGGGGGUUCGGGGGGUUGGUGUACGGGGGCGGAGAGAAAAGUUUGGACCAGUAAACCAAAAUGCUCUUAAACCUGUUGCUAGGGGCAACUGCUCAUGACUGCGGAGCUGACAAAGCAGGAUGCAGAAAUGUCUCCUGUUUAAAUAUGGCUGAGCAGAUAUUCUAUGGAUCAUAAUGCAUCAGUGUCACAGCUUAACAUUUUAGUUAAGUGGCAUUAUUUGCCUCCAGAAUUGAUUUCCAUAGGGACAAUUAUAGUGUACAACCACUCAUGUGACCUUUUGUGUUCUCCAGAAGAACAAACUGUAUACAGGUUUGGAACAACAUGAGGGUGAGUAAAUGACCAAAUAUUGAGUACUCCUUAGAUUGCCUAAUUAGACAUCUUUCCACUUAGUUAAUGAAACGCUGUUGAUUUAAUCACAUUCAAUAAAACAGAAAAUCAUAAGCAGGUCUUUUGUCUCAA